rnacentral:rRNA from 1 species
UACGGAGGGUGCGAGCGUUGUCCGGAAUCACUGGGCGUAAAGGGCGCGUAGGCGGCGCGGGAAGUCAACGGUGAAAGCUUGGGGCUCAACUCCGAGUCGGCCGUCGAUACUCCCGUGCUCGAGCACUGUAGAGGCAGAUGGAAUUCCGGGUGUAGCGGUGGAAUGCGUAGAGAUGUGGAGGAACACCGAUGGCGAAGGCAGCCCCCUGGGUCAAAACUGACGCUCAUGCACGAAAGCGUGGGGAGCAAACAGG